GACUAAACGACAAUUGACCAUCUCCAAUAUGUUCGAUGUAAACCAGCUCUUUUGAGAUUCUUACCCACAUGAUUCUGCUUUCUCUCUAUAGGAUCUUUAGUUUCAGUUUGUCUAAAUCUGCCUUCUUCUUCCUCUGUAAUGCAAAGAGAUGACUCGCUCAAGAGAUGAUGAGACGACACCGUUCUGGACGUGUUUUCUCCAUCUCCUCCUGCUCUCAUCAUUCUUCUUGUUGUCCAUGUCCUUGGAACCCGAUACAGCUCCAGAUACGAAAGACAUCAAUCAAUUCAACUCGCUUCUCCCUCAAGCCUUGAGACUCCAAGUGUCAAAAUAUAGGUGGUGGAUAGACAUAAUUUACAAUCGCUGGUGAUUUCAAAACAUCAGGGUCUGGAACAUUGAAGCAUAACUGAUUGAUUUUGGUGAAACGCAACUGGAGAGAAAAAUUGAUAUUGGCAUAAGGUGCUUACCAUAACAUCAUAGAUGAAACAAAUGAAAGUCCUUUGAAGGAGAGCGUAAGCAGCGAGACCCAUUUCACUGUUGUGACCCAAGAAAGCUUGAGCUACCACUACGCAGCCAAACGACAUCACUCUGAACAAAGACGAUGUUAUGAGCAAGAGAUUUUACCUGAUUGCUUCACACAGUAUUCAACAGGGAGCUUCUCUUAACUAUGUGGCCAUGCCUCUUUAUGUUUCAAAUACAUGGACGGCACCAGAUUGAAAGGUUAGCAUCAGAAUUUCUAAGUAGUUGUGUAAUUGUUUGGGACAGAUUCAAGCACCCCUGCUAUACUUUAUCUUACAAAUCACUCAUUAGGCUAAAAGUAAACAAUUGCGUUCACAAAAUAAAUCUUACUGAAAGUAUGUAAACAAAUAUCAUAUAAAAAAAUACAACACACAAACUCUAUAAUGAAACUGCAAAAAAAAAUUUGGAUAAGAAGUUGAAAUGUUUGUUCAAACCUUGGUAACUCACUUCUAUAUGCGGUGCUUGGAAUCUUACAUAAAAAAUAGAUUUAUCUUUAUAAUGUUAUAAAAGUAAUGGAAAAGUCUAUCUU